UGGGGGAUAUUGCACAAUGGGCGAAAGCCUGAUGCAGCGACGCCGCGUGGGGGAUGAAGGCUUUCGGGUUGUAAACCUCUUUCGCUAUCGAACAAGGCCCGCUUAGGGUGGGUUGAGGGUAGGUGGAGAAGAAGCGCCGGCUAACUACGUGCCAGCAGCCGCGGUAAUACGUAGGGCGCGAGCGUUGUCCGGAAUUAUUGGGCGUAAAGGGCUUGUAGGCGGCUUGUUGCGCCUGCUGUGAAAACGCGGGGCUUAACUUCGCGCGUGCAGUGGGUACGGGCAGGCUUGAGUGUGGUAGGGGUGCCUGGAAUUCCAGGUGUAGCGGUGGAAUGCGCAGAUAUCUGGAGGAACACCGAUGGCGAAGGCAGGUCACUGGGCCAUUACUGACGCUGAGGAGCGAAAGCAUGGGUAGCGAACAGG
rnacentral:rRNA from 1 species